ACACCGGCAGCUCAAGUGGUAGCCGCUUUUAUUGGGCCUAAAGCGUCCGUAGCCGGUCUGAUAAGUCUCUGGUGAAAUCCCGCAGCUUAACUGUGGGAAUUGCUGGAGAUACUAUCAUGACUCGAGGUCGGGAGAGGCUGGAGGUACUCCCAGGGUAGGGGUGAAAUCCUGUAAUCCUGGGAGGACCACCUGUGGCGAAGGCGUCCAGCUGGAACGAACCUGACGGUGAGGGACGAAAGCCAGGGGCGCGAACCGGAUUAGAUACCCGGGUAGUCCUGGCCGUAAACGAUGUGGACUUGGUGUUGGGAUGGCUUCGAGCUGCCCCAGUGCCGAAGGGAAGCUGUUAAGUCCACCGCCUGGGAAGUACGGCCGCAAGGCUGAAACUUAAAGGAAUUGGCGGGG
rnacentral:rRNA from 1 species